rnacentral:tRNA from 1 species
GCCUUCGUGGUGUAACGGUAGCACACUCGGCGAGUAUUCGAGAGGUCCAGGUUCGAAUCCCGGCGAUGGCA